rnacentral:rRNA from 1 species
CAGCCGCCACGGUAAUACAGAGGGUGCGAGCGUUAAUCGGAUUUACUGGGCGUAAAGCGUGCGUAGGCGGCUUUUUAAGUCGGAUGUGAAAUCCCCGAGCUUAACUUGGGAAUUGCAUUCGAUACUGGGAAGCUAGAGUAUGGGAGAGGAUGGUAGAAUUCCAGGUGUAGCGGUGAAAUGCGUAGAGAUCUGGAGGAAUACCGAUGGCGAAGGCAGCCAUCUGGCCUAAUACUGACGCUGAGGUACGAAAGCAUGGGGAGCAAACAGGAUUAGAGACCCGAGUAGUCCCUGUCUCUUAUAC